rnacentral:tRNA from 2 species
GGAGAGUUGGCUGAGUGGUCUAAAGCGCCUCACUGCUAACGAGGUAAGGGUUAAACCCCUUCGAGAGUUCGAAUCUCUCACUCUCCG